AUUGAACGCUGGCGGCAGGCCUAACACAUGCAGGUCGAGCGGAUGAAGGGAGCUUGCUCCUGGAUUCAGCGGCGGACGGGUGAGUAAUGCCUAGGAAUCUGCCUGGUAGUGGGGGAUAACGUCCGGAAACGGGCGCUAAUACCGCAUACGUCCUGAGGGAGAAAGUGGGGGAUCUUCGGACCUCACGCUAUCAGAUGAGCCUAGGUCGGAUUAGCUAGUUGGUGGGGUAAAGGCCUACCAAGGCGACGAUCCGUAACUGGUCUGAGAGGAUGAUCAGUCACACUGGAACUGAGACACGGUCCAGACUCCUACGGGAGGCAGCAGUGGGGAAUAUUGGACAAUGGGCGAAAGCCUGAUCCAGCCAUGCCGCGUGUGUGAAGAAGGUCUUCGGAUUGUAAAGCACUUUAAGUUGGGAGAAAGGGCAGUAAGUUAAUACCUUGCUGUUUUGACGUUACCAACAGAAUAAGCACCGGCUAACUUCGUG
rnacentral:rRNA from 1 species